rnacentral:rRNA from 1 species
GGGGGGGGGGGGGGGGGGGGGGGAGGGGGGGGGGGGGGGGGGGGGAGGGGGGCUGGGUGCUGGGUUCAGCGGCGGGCGGGUGAGGAAUGCGUAGGAAUCUGCCUGGUAGGGGGGGAUAACGUCCGGAAACGGGCGCUACUAGCGCCUACUGCCUGCGGGGGCACGUGGGGGAUCUUCGGACCUCACGCUCUCAGCUGAGCCUAGGUCGGAUUAGCUAGUUGGGGGGGUAAAGGCCUACCGAGGCGACGAUCCGUAACUGGUCUGAGAGGAUGAUCAGUCACACUGGAACUGAGACACGGUCCAGACUCCUACGGGAGGCAGCAGUGGGGAAUAUUGGACAAUGGGCGAAAGCCUGAUCCAGCCAUGCCGCGUGUGUGAAGAAGGUCUUCGGAUUGUAAAGCACUUUAAGUUGGGAGGAAGGGCAGUAAGUUAAUACCUUGCUGUUUUGACGUUACCAACAGAAUAAGCACCGGCUAACUUCGUG